rnacentral:tRNA from 1 species
UCGGAGGUAGCUCAGUCGGAAAGAGCAAUCCCACAAUUAGGGAGGUGUCGUGGGUUCGAGUCCCACCCUCCGACA